UGGGGAGUCGUCUAAUGGUAGGACACAGGACUCUGGAUCCUGGAGUUGGGGUUCAAAUCCCUGCUCCCCAGCCA
rnacentral:tRNA from 1 species